UUACGGCCACAUCAGGUUGAAACACCUGUUCCCGUACGAUCACUGAAGUUAAGCAACGUCGAGCAUAGACAGUACCUAGAUAGGAGACGUCAUGGGAAUAUUAGGUGAUGCAAG